rnacentral:rRNA from 1 species
AGCGAACGCUGGCGGCAGGCUUAACACAUGCAAGUCGAACGCAUCCUUCGGGGUGAGUGGCCGACGGGUGAGUAACACGUGGGAACGUACCCUUCGAUCUGGGAUAACUUCGGGAAACUGGAGCUAAUACCGGAUACGCCCUUUUGGGGAAAGGUUUACUGUCGAAGGAUCGGCCUGCGGCUGAUUAGCUAGUGGGUGUGGUACCGGCCUACCAAGGCGACGAUCAGUACCUGGUCUGAGAGGAUGAUCAGCCACACUGGGAAUGAGGCACGGCCCAGACUCCUGCGGGGGGAGGAAGGGGGAACUAGUGACGACGGGGGCGAGGCCUAGGCAGUCCGGGCGGGGAGAGUGAUGAAGACUUAAGGGUGGGAAAGCGUUUUGACCGGGGACAAUAUGACGGUACCGGAAGAAUAAGCCCCGGCUAACUUCGUG